rnacentral:rRNA from 1 species
AUACGGGGGGUGCAAGCGUUAUUCGGAUUUAUUGGGCGUAAAGGGCGCGUAGGCGGCUUGGAAAGUCAGAUGUGAAAGCCCGGGGCUCAACCCCGGAAGUGCAUUUGGAACUAUCAGGCUUGAGUAUGGGAGAGGGAAGUGGAAUUCCUGGUGUAGAGGUGAAAUUCGUAGAUAUCAGGAGGAACACCGGUGGCGAAGGCGACUUCCUGGACCAAUACUGACGCUGAGGCGCGAAGGCGUGGGGAGCAAACAGGAUUAGAAACCCCAGUAGUCC